UGUCAAGCUUGCGGAUGUCACC
rnacentral:miRNA from 1 species